ACAUUUUCUUCCUCAAUCUCUUCCUCAUCAUCAUUCUCACAAUUCACUAAACCCCACCAUUUUCUUCUCCUCCUCCAAAUUUCCUUACAGAACAAAUCCACCCAAGUCCACCACCAAUGACCACCCCACCACUACCCAAGAACCCCCUACCCCCUCUCGCCGUGGCCGUAAAAAAUCAUCCACCCCCACAACUUCAAAAAAAUCAAGAACCCCAAAAGAUUCAAACUUUGAUAUCAACAUUGCAGAAUCCAACACCCAAAUGGAAGAAAUUGAUGAUUAUGAUGAUGGGGUUGAUUUUCCAUACCCAAACCCA
rnacentral:misc_RNA from 1 species